UACGUAGGGGGCGAGCGUUGUCCGGAUUUAUUGGGCGUAAAGAGCGUGUAGGCGGUUCGGUAAGUCUGUCGUGAAAUCCUGAGGCUCAACCUCGGGCGUGCGAUGGAUACUGCCGGGCUAGAGGGUGGUAGAGGCGAGUGGAAUUCCCGGUGUAGCGGUGAAAUGCGCAGAUAUCGGGAGGAACACCAGUAGCGAAGGCGGCUCGCUGGGCCACACCUGACGCUGAGACGCGAAAGCUAGGGGAGCAAACGGG
rnacentral:rRNA from 1 species